CCUACGGGAGGCUGCAGUAGGGAAUAUUGCUCAAUGGGGGAAACCCUGAAGCAGCAACGCCGCGUGGAGGAUGAAGGUUUUCGGAUUGUAAACUCCUUUUGUUAGAGAAGAUAAUGACGGUAUCUAACGAAUAAGCACCGGCUAACUACGUGCCAGCAGCCGCGGUAAUACGGAGGGGGCAAGCGUUACACGGAAUCACUGGGCGUAAAGAGCGCGUAGGCGGGAUAGCAAGUCAGAUGUGAAAUCCUUUGGCUUAACCAUAGAACUGCAUUUGAAACUGUUAUUCUAGAGUAUAGGAGAGGUAGGUGGAAUUCUUGGUGUAGGGGUGAAAUGCGUAGAGAUCAAGAGGAAUACUCAUUGCGAAGGCGGCCUACUAGAACGUAACUGACGCUGAUGCGCGAAAGCGUGGGGAGCAAACAGGAUUAGAUACCCUAGUAGUC
rnacentral:rRNA from 1 species